UGGAAACAUGACCUGAGCCGAAGGCAGAGGCUUUCACCCACUGAACCACCCAAGCGCCCCUGAAAUAUGUGUUUUAAGAUUCCGGGUUGAUUUGGUGCCUGCCCCCUGUAAUUAUGGCUCCAAAU
rnacentral:lncRNA from 1 species